rnacentral:rRNA from 1 species
GACGAACGCUGGCGGCGUGCUUAACACAUGCAAGUCGAACGGAAAGGCCCUGCUUUUGUGGGGUGCUCGAGUGGCGAACGGGGGAGUAACACGUGAGUAACCUGCCCUUGACUUUGGGAUAACUUCAGGAAACUGGGGCGAAUACCGGAGAGGAGCUCCUGCUGCAUGGGGGGGGUUGGAAAGUGUCGGCGGUUGGGGAUGGACUCGCGGCUUAUCAGCUUGAUGGUGGGGUAGUGGCGUACCAAGGCUUUGACGGGUAGCCGGCCUGAGAGGGUGACCGGCCACCUUGGGACUGAGAUACGUCCCAGUCUCCUACGGGCGGCAGCAGUGGGGAAUAUUGCACAAUGGGCGGAAGCCUGAUGCAGCAACGCCGCGUGCGGGAUGACGGCCUUCGGGUUGUAAACCGCUUUCGCCUGUGACGAAGCGUGCGUGACGGUAAUGGGUAAAGAAGCACCGGCUAACUACGUG